rnacentral:rRNA from 1 species
CAGCAGCCGCGGUAAAACGUAGGGUGCAAGCGUUAAUCGGAAUUACUGGGCGUAAAGCGUGCGCAGGCGGUUAUAUAAGACAGAUGUGAAAUCCCCGGGCUCAACCUGGGAACUGCAUUUGUGACUGUAUAGCUAGAGUACGGCAGAGGGGGAUGGAAUUCCGCGUGUAGCAGUGAAAUGCGUAGAUAUGCGGAGGAACACCGAUGGCGAAGGCAAUCCCCUGGGCCUGUACUGACGCUCAUGCACGAAAGCGUGGGGAGCAAACAGGAUUAGAUACCCCCGUAGUCCCUGUCUCUUAUAU